rnacentral:snoRNA from 1 species
ACGCAUCUCUGACAGACCUGGAGCAGUUAGUGUCUGCCACUAAGAUUUCCACUAUAGAAGCGAGAAAAAGAAGGUCCCCGUGCUUUCUGCCUGGUUGUGGCAGCCAAGACUGAGUGGGGGAAUACAGGA